GACGAACGCUGGCGGCGUGCCUAACACAUGCAAGUCGAACGGGACCAGGGGCAACUCUGGUUCAGUGGCGGACGGGUGCGUAACACGUGAGGAACAUGACCUUCGGCGGGGGAGUAGCCGGCCCAACGGCCGGGUAAGUACCGCGUACGACCACCUGGGGACGAUCCUCGAGUGGUGAAAGCAGCAAUGCGCCGAUGAAGUGCCUCGCGGCCUAUCAGCUAGUUGGUGGGGUAACGGCUCACCAAGGCGACGACGGGUAGCUGGUCUGAGAGGAUGGCCAGCCACAUUGGGACUGAGACACGGCCAGACUCCUACGGGAGGCAGCAGUGGGGAAUAUUGCGCAAUGGACGAAAGUCUGACGCAGCGACGCCGCGUGUGGGAUGACGGUCUUCGGAUU
rnacentral:rRNA from 1 species